GCAAGUCGAACGAGAAAGCCCUUCGGGGUGAGUAGAGUGGCGCACGGGUGAGUAACGCAUGGGAACGUACCCUUCGGUCUGGGAUAACCGUGAGAAAUCGCGGCUAAUACCGGAUAGUCUCGCAAGAGUAAAGAUGGCCUCUCCUUGGAAGCUAUCGCCGGUUGAUCGGCCCAUGUCCCAUUAGCUUGUUGGCGAGGUAACGUCUCACCAAGGCGACGAUGGGUAGCUGGUCUGAGAGGAUGAUC
rnacentral:rRNA from 1 species